ACAAAAUAUAAAAUAAAAAAGAAUAGCAGACAUUUAGGCCAAAGUGGGCGAAGAUAAAAAUCCAUGUCAUAAUUUUAUCUUUGUUGCAAAAACCCAAAUUAACACUAAUGCUAGGGUGUUUGUAAUACUGCGUCUAUGGGAGUGAUGGUAAAUUUGACAUCGUUCUCUCUUCUGACUUUAGACAUUAUCAGUCUCCCUCUCUCUUUGAAAGUCAUUAUUGUCCUCAUUUGUAAGUCACUUUGGAUAAAAGCAUCUGCUAAAUGACAAAUUGUAAACGUGAAUCCAAUGCAAAAACAGUUCAUCUGCAGUUGAAAAAUGGCCAUUGCGAGAAAGAGUUGCAAGUCCUUCAGCAAAAACUGAGACAUCAAUGUUCUUUAUUUUCCAAAAUGUAAUAGAACGACAUAGAUUGAGUUUGAAUACAGGUAACUGAGCAUUAAAGGACACCAGCCUAAGAUUUGACAAAGACAGAUCGGAAAUAGUGCAAUUAUAAAGAAUUACACCUGAACAACACACAAGAUCCAUGCAGCGUAUGACCCUUUAAAUGGGUAGGAAAAUGCAUAAAUUGUUUUAAACCAAUGCUGUUUAGCCACAAUAAAAAUCCCUUGCAGAUACACUAUCUGCAUUAUCAAUACGAAUAUUCAAAUCCCUACAUAAGAUCACAUUAGAAGACAAUGAACAAAGAUAGGUUAAAGAGACAGAAAUAAUUAUUAAGAUUUAAUUUUUACUGGUGCUCAGUGUCUUAACUUUUCUAAAAUGAAAAGAUCUGGCCAGCAGGAAAAGACAUUUGAGCCAGGGCUCGUAUUCACAAAACAUCUUAAGGCUUAAAGUAGCUCCUAACUUACCGAUUUUAGGACUCCUAAAUUUUUUCUCUGAGUAUUUCACAAAGCGUAAAAAUAGCUCCUAAAACUGUGAAAUGUUAGGAGUAGUGAAGAGGACUCCUAAGUCACUAAGAUCAAAUCUGAAAUAUCCUAAAAUGGCUGUUACCAGCAAUCUACCUCGGAAUAUAAAUAUUUUAGAAACUUUUUUUCUAAUUGGUUUGGUUUGGAGGUUAUCCCAACUCCAAAUGUUUGAUUAUAUCCUUAAAAUAUAUUUGUUCUUGCGUCCAGUUUGGUUUUCUUUUAUGUUUGCAUGUCUUACUAUCAGCCAUGACUAUUCUGCUAAUGUAAAGACUCAGAACAGCAACAAAAUGUUGUGCUUUUGUAAAGUAAAGCAAACAUGAUGCGUUUUCUGCCGUCUAAGACACUGUGAACUUGAGCGCGUCACUUCAAAACUCUGUGGAUGCUUGCCUUAUUACAGACAUUAAAAAUAUAUAUAUGGAGAGUGAUUUUUUUUUUUUUCAUUUUUAAAUAAACCAAUUUAAAUAGAAAACAAAUAUUCUCAGAUUAUGUAAUCCAUAUGAUACAUGCAUACAGGUGAUGCGGAGAUGAGUCACUGUCACAGAAAGCACUAGUGUAACAAUAAAUUACGGCGUAACAAUAAAUUAAAACGUUAAUGGAGUGUACUUUCUGUUUUUCCCAAACACAUUCAUAAUUAUUAUAUAUGCCGGUGCGCUUUGGCAAGACUUUUUUUGCGUGUGCUUGAGUGCUCAUUAGGCUAUGUAGGCAAUUAAAGGCUCAUUAUUAUGAUUUAUAUGGUUUAUUAAAAAAAGUUCGACUAAUAGUCGACUAAUGCUUAAAAUGAACGACUUCUAGUCGACCUGAAAAAUCUUAAAUCGAGGGCAGUCCUAAUGCAUAAUCACUAAUUGUUUAUGAGAAGCAUACAUAUAAGAAGCUGAUAAUUAGCUGAAUAUAUAGCCUAUUUGUUUAAUUAUUGACACUUAGCCUGCAUUUUAAAAUCUUUAUUUGAAUGUGGCAAUUAACAUUUUUAUUUUAAAACAUUUAUUUGAAUAUGGCAACGUAAUAUUGCGCUCUGCAAUAUUUCUAUGAAUAAAUCUCUGACAGAAACUAUCAGCCAAUCACUGUGUGCAUAGUUAGUAAGUAUGCUGACAUCAUCCACAGCAACGAGGUCAACCACGCCCCUUACUCUUAGCUUAAUUCUGUCUAUUCCUUAGUAAAAGCUUGUCUCAGCAGCUUUGUGAACAGGUUUUAAGAGAAAACUCUUAGCUAAAAACUUUUACUGCUAUUUAGGAGAACUCUUAGUGGUAAGAUAAAAUGUUUUGUGAAUACGGGCCCAGCGAUAUAUUGCGUCUUUAAAAUAAAGCACAUAAAUGUGUCAUCUAGGUAAUUUUUGAUCAGCAGGACCAGCAUGAUUGGCUGCGCUCCAUCCUUUCUGCCAACCGUGAUAGUGAAGGAGUCCUCCUGCAAUGACUGUAGCCAGAAAAAACACAAACGCAGCAAGUCCAGCACCACCAAACAUAAGCACACGCUCCAUCAGCGUCACCUCAUCUACAGACAGACACACAGGAGAAUUACUUAUGUUUGUACCGAUCUGAACUGAUGACUAGAAUUAGUGCUGGAUCUCCACAGUAGAGUAGCUACACCAUUAAAUAUGAACUAAACAAACAACAUAAUGCUCAACAUGUUACCUGUGUUGUCAGCUUCUUUUGGCAGUUCUGUUACAGAAAGACAUAUGUUACUUUAUUACAAACACAGUAAGCAAUCAAAACACGGCUUCUGCGGGUCUUAAAAAGUUUUAAUUCAGCCUUAAGGCCUUAAAAGUUUUAAAUUGGAGUACAAAUUCUUAAAUUCAUAAAGUCGUGGAAUUAAAUGUUGCAUGCACUGAAAAAAUGUCAGUAUUUUUGUAUUGUUUUCCAAUCUCAACAUCAAGAUACAUUUACGUGAGAUGCAGAAUGAAGAUAUAAAGCAGAGUCUUUUGUGAAAUCAAAACUGAAUUAAAAAAAGUUUUUUUUUUUUACAAAAAAAAAAAAAAAAAAAUGUGCCAGUGGGGAAUGAAAACCUAAGUUGAUUUUUCUGAGCUGAUUGGCAGAUUUGUAUUUUUUUUUAAAUCAUAGGCUCGCUUCAUUUUGAUAAUUUUUCAGAAAACAAGACUUCUUAUCAUACUGUAUGUUAUUUAAUCUUGAUUAGAGCGCUUUUAACAUUUGCACUGGAAAACAAGACAAAAUACUGAAGAUGCUUUUUUAUGAUCAGAAAGUACAGUAAAAUAUAUUCUUGUAAAAUUAAUGAAAAAGUAACAGAGAUUGGAAUUUGGAUUUUAAAACUUUGAAUUUACUUAAAAUAUGAUUUGACAUAUUGUUUCUUUUUAUUUCAAUUAAAUUUACUUUCUAAAUCUUGCAGAAACCCCAAAAACAACAUAAGUACUACAUAAAAGUGAGGUGAAAUGGGUUUUUAAGUUGUCAGAAAUAUGACUUCUCAAACUAAACUUUAUUAGUUGUUGGCUAGUUAAGCAAUGUUAAGUGGUAAGCUGAGAUUUCUUGGCAUGUUGUGAAAUCACUGACAUGUAUUACGUCCCAGCGCUGGUUACAUAACUUUCAAACUGUAGUCUGUACUGAUUCAGUUUACAUAAUGAAAAUUGUAGUUAGCAACAUAAAUACUAAUUUUAGGUAAUGUAUUCUGAUUACUUUUUAGAUUACUUUUAACCUUGUUUACUACUUUUGCCUUAUUAAAUUUUAACUUGUUUUAAACUAAUCAUUAAAUGUACCAUAUUGAUAUAAAAAAAGAAGAAAAAAAAGAUCUCAACAGGGGUUAAUGUAAGAACUACAGUGCGUUUGAGUUGAUAAAAAGCUAAUAAUUAAAUCAAUCAUAAAAAUGUCAAAUUAAAAUACAUUAUUUGAAACAAAAACAAUUUAACACUAAAAAGAGAAAUGUUUAAUUUGUGUACCUGUAUGUCAAAGGUUUGCUGAAGAUUCACAGCUUUACUGUGCAUCACCAGUGUUUACUAAUUUGCAUAAUUGUUUCAUUGUCUAAUUGCUUGAGAGGUGCUUUUUUCACCGAAAUUCAGAAGCAUGAAUCACAUAAUUAUUUACAUCUCAUUUAAAUGGCCAGUAUAUAUUGUGAAUAUACUAAAUGCUGCAACAUCCAUAUAUCCCAAACUAAAAACAUCCAUGUGCAAAUCUCAUUUUACCCAUCCCUCCCUUCACUGAUAAAUUAAUGAAGGUGUAAUUGGAACUGAAAUCUGUUACCGGUACUCAGAUCCUCGGCAUGUUGACCCUCGAUCUCUAGUCUGAUGGGUCGAUCGAAGUGCAUCUCUGUAGUGUUAGAUCUUGUUCCACAGAAAUAAAGACCUGAAUCUGACUCUGUUACUCCAGAAAUCUCUAGCGUGGCUCUGGUGAUCCAUGUGUCUGCAGCGAUUUUCAGACGAGUUUGGAAUAGAUUGUAGGUGGUCAGAAAUUUUCUCCCUGUUAUGUCAGUCUGUGCAGAAAUCAACAGAUUGAAUCGGUUAGCUCUGAGGUGAUACCAGGCGAUUUCAUAUCGGUUUCUCAUGUUGCAUUUCAUAAUGAUGCUUUCUCCCUUCUGAACUCUCAGCAGAUCAGAAGAUCCUUGUAUUGAUAUAGAUGCAUCUGAAGAGACAUUGAUAAAAAUUACUACAUUGGUUAAAAAUUAUAAUAGCAUUAAAAUAAUUAUAAUUACUAAAAUAAGUAAAAGUAAUACAUAAUUAUAAGUUUGAAAAUUUACCACUGGUUGGGAUUUGCAUAUAUCCAAACCAAAGUACACAGAAGAAAAUUAUAUUUUUCAUGUCUCGUCAGGUUCCUGCAUGAAGUGAAAAGACCUAAACCACUAUUCGUUUCCUGCUAUAUAAACUGCUUGCCAUUUCCUUAGUAAUCGCUUCCACCUGCUACUUUUCCGACUAUGGCUGUAAAAACAUGUUUAUGUAACGGCAUUGUCAGUUGUGGUUUGCACUACCUGUAAAUUCAUUUGUUUUUCAUGCACAUAAACAGCUACAGUACACACAUUGACAACCAUGUAUCUUCCUCCCAUCCCAAUUUGGUUUAUUUCAGUUCAAAAAAUCCAUGAUAAUGUACCAUUCAUACACAAGUCAGAAUUUAAUUUACAUAUUGACCUUGAAAUUGUUGGACUGACUUGCUUUACUAGAUCCCGUCAGAGGAUUCAUUACUGAUCGACUAUUUCUUCUUCUGAGACUAAAUCUAGUCAGUUUCUCCUUCAAGCACCAAACCUGGCUCAGACCUUCACACUGGACUGACUCUGGUUGCUGUAUUUUCUUUUUCUCACCUAUCUGAC
ensembl:lncRNA